rnacentral:rRNA from 1 species
GACGAACGCUGGCGGCGUGCUUAACACAUGCAAGUCGAGCGGUAAGGCCCUUUCGGGGGUACACGAGCGGCGAACGGGUGAGUAACACGUGGGUGACCUGCCCUCAGCUCUGGGAUAAGCCUGGGAAACCGGGUCUAAUACCGGAUACGACUCCAUGACGCAUGUUGUGGGGUGGAAAGCCUUGUGCGGCUGAGGAUGGGCCCGCGGCCUAUCAGCUUGUUGGUGGGGUGAUGGCCUACCAAGGCGACGACGGGUAGCCGGCCUGAGAGGGCGACCGGCCACACUGGGACUGAGACACGGCCCAGACUCCUACGGGAGGCAGCAGUGGGGAAUUUUUCGCAAUGGGGGAAACCCUGACGAAGCAACGCCGCGUGGAGGAUGAAGGCCUUCGGUCGUAAC